rnacentral:lncRNA from 1 species
CCCUGUCAUUACUUGAUUCUCCUUUGCCUAAUCACCUUUUCUUGAAUCCUUAUCUUCUUCUCCUCAUAAAUUUCUUAAAUUUCCUUGUAAUGAGGGCUAUGUCUUCGUCAUUUUCAUCAUCUUCGAUUGUCUCCUCAACUUCUUCAUCAAUUGCUGCAAAUUUAAGGAUAAUAGUCUUCUUCUUUCGGCCUUCAUCCUCAUUAUACUGCUUUAUUGCCAAUUUAUGC